rnacentral:rRNA from 1 species
AGAAUCAACGCUGGCGGCGUGCCUAACACAUGCAAGUCGAACGCGAAAGUCCCGCAAGGGAUCAGUAGAGUGGCAAACGGGUGAGUAACACGUGGGUGACCUGCCUUCGAGUGGGGGGAUAACGUCCCGAAAGGGACGCUAAUACCGCAUAACAUCCCGCCUUUUAACAGGUGGACAUCAAAGCUGGGGAUCGCAAGACCUAGCGCUUGAAGAGGGGCCCGCGCCUGAUUAGCUAGUUGGUGGGGUAAUGGCUCACCAAGGCAACGAUCAGUA